CGAGCUGAUCCCCUUCGGGGGUGACGCUCGUGGAAUGAGCGGCGGACGGGUGAGUAACACGUGGGCAACCUGCCUGUAAGAUCGGAAUAACUCCGGGAAACCGGAGCUAAUGCCGGGUAACAUGUUCCUUCGCAUGAAGGAACAUUAAAAGAUGGCUUCUCGCUAUCACUUACAGAUGGGCCCGCGGCGCAUUAGCUAGUUGGUGAGGUAACGGCUCACCAAGGCGACGAUGCGUAGCCGACCUGAGAGGGUGAUCGGCCACACUGGGACUGAGACACGGCCCAGACUCCUACGGGAGGCAGCAGUAGGGAAUCUUCCGCAAUGGACGAAAGUCUGACGGAGCAACGCCGCGUGAACGAUGAAGGUCUUCGGAUCGUAAAGUUCUGUUGUUAGGGAAGAACAAGUACCGUGCGAAUAGAACGGUACCUUGACGGUACCUAACGAGGAAGCCCCGGCUAACUACGUGCCAGCAGCCGCGGUAAUACGUAGGGGGCAAGCGUUGUCCGGAAUUAUUGGGCGUAAAGCGCGCGCAGGCGGUUCCUUAAGUCUGAUGUGAAAGGCCACGGCUCAACCGUGGAGGGCCAUUGGAAACUGGGGAACUUGAGGACAGAAGAGGAGAGUGGAAUUCCACGUGUAGCGGUGAAAUGCGUAGAUAUGUGGAGGAACACCAGUGGCGAAGGCGACUCUCUGGUCUGUUUCUGACGCUGAGGUGCGAAAGCGUGGGUAGCAAACAGGAUUAGAUACCCUGGUAGUCCACGCCGUAAACGAUGAGUGCUAGGUGUUAGGGGGCUUCCACCCCUUAGUGCUGAAGUUAACGCAUUAAGCACUCCGCCUGGGGAGUACGGCCGCAAGGCUGAAACUCAAGGAAUUGACGGGGCCCGCACAGCGUGAGCAUGUGUUUAUUACGAAGCACGCGAGAUCUUACAGUCUUGACAUCUUGAACCACCUAGAGAUAGGUCUUCCUCGGACGAUGACAGUGGUGCAUGGUGUCGUCAGCUCGGUCUGAACUGUAGCUAGUCCGCACGAGGCACCCUACUUAGUGCAGCAUAGUGACUUAGUAUUGCAGUACAGCAG
rnacentral:rRNA from 1 species